rnacentral:pre_miRNA from 1 species
UCUAGCAGAUCAGCUUUUUGUUUGUGUUAUGUUCAUACUAAAAUGUAAGACGAACAAAAAGUUUGUCUGUUGGAUG